UUCAUUCCACAGCUCCGUCAAGUGGCAGUCGAUCAGAGCCAAUUGAUCAAAUAUAGACUAUCAAUAACCAGCAAUGACUAUUUUCGCCUUUUCACAAUAAUUACAUGUUUUUGGGGCUUUCAGUUCAGACAUGGACGAGUCGAGACCAGACCAGACCAAGUCGAUUGGACUUGAUUAAACACAGUUGUUCAAAUUUUCCACAAAGAAAUGUCCAUAAAGAGGAUAAUUAUCUGGUUUGCCUAACGAUUGGAUCAAUGAAAUCAGUAAUACAAAUUUCCUUAUUUCAUUUUUGUGGGAUUAUAUCUUGGCAGAAGUCAUUAACUCAAGGAUUAGCUCUGAGCCAAGUUAAGCGGAACCUACAAUACAUUUCAAUGAAAAUAAAAGAUGUAUUCUUUGCUUAUGUUCCAAAUAAAUUAGUGUUGUUGUU